UUGGAUUCUGUCUCCCUCGCUCUCUGCCCCUCCCCCACUCGCGCUGUCUCUCAAAAAUAAACAUUGAAAAAUUAAAAACAAAAAAACAGUACACUUAAAAUGCUCCGAACAGUGCCAAGGAUAUAGUAAGCACUUAGUGAACGUAGUAAAUGGUAACUAUUGUGAGAGUUUUCCUCACUGCCACCCUCUUAGCUCUAAAUUCAGCUUCUCUUGCUGUCUACCUGUUGUUCCCACCUUGCUUUUUGCUCUGCACUGAAAAUUGCUUUUCAUGUUGAUGGCUUCGCUGCCUCAGUUACUUAACAUACAAGACAGAGGGCCUGCCAUGUGCUGGGGAUCCAGGAGAAUUGUGACAAAGUCCCAGCCCUCAUUGAAGGCGCAGGCCUUCCCUAACCUGUUUUGCCCGUUCUCUGCCAUCGGGCCGAGAGCAGACUCCGGGAGCAUGGUGGCUGAAGAUGCCGGGCCUGACGAAGAUACCUUUCAACAGAAAGACCGUGGAGGGGACUUUGAAUCUAGAGUGCUCAAACUCCAAGGAAGACGUGUGUCCUCCAAGGGCUCACUGUUGGAGCGGACCUGACCUUUCCCUCUGCAGACUGCCUGUUUGUUCGUUCUCUUUUCGAAGCUAGCACUUACGGAGCGUGCUUAGCACUUUAUGUGGUUUAUAUAACUAAUCUUGACGAAUAAUCUCCUCGGUUUGCAGGCAAGGAAAAAAAUGAGGCACAGCAGUUAAUUUGGCUGAUACAAUACAAUUAGUAAAUGGCAGAGACAAGAUUUAAUUAAAAUUCUGUCACACUGAAGCCUACUUGCUCUAAAGUGUGGGUGGAGAAAAUUGAGCCAGGUAAUUUAGGCAUAUCCUUCCCCUCAUACAGCUCCCUAGGCCACAGGACCGAGUUAUCAGACGUCAUAGUGAGUACUUUGCUAUUGGAAUUUCGAUAUUCGUGUUUGAAGAACUUUGGAGUCCUGUCCCCAUCUGUCUGUAGGUGUCUAGAAGGAAGCCCAUAGGUGAGAGGUGUAAGCUGGAGACAAGGAUGAUUAUCAUUGGGAGUCAAGGGGAACUCUAGACCAAUGAGAUUGUAUGCUCUUGUAAGGUAGGGACAGAGCCCUAAAGUUCUCUCUGUACCUCCAGACGGUUCAGCACACUGCUGGACACUCUACACUCAACAGAAAGGUGUAUUUCAGAAAGGCUGUUGCUCCCCUGCAGACACAGGGAGAGGUUGAUUGUGGGAGAUGAGGUCUGGUCAGAAGCUGGGGUGAGGUGAGGGUUCCUCACUGAAGAAGGCAUCUCCUCGUCCCUGGCAAGACUGAUGGCAUUUCCUAAGCCCCUGCUUCCCUCCUGUGCAGCUCUUUUAGGGCCCUGGAAAAGCACCUACCACGCUUGGCACAGGAUGGGGAAGGGUCGGUCCUGUGGCUUGAAGCUUCCAGAAUUUAGAGAUAGUACUUCUCUCAUCAGCCACCGUUCUCCACUCCCAGGAAUUUGCAUAAAGCCUCACCUAAGUUACUUCCUCCGCUGACACUCCUGCCCUCCGGGGAAGGACCCAAGGCAUUUGUUUUGUUGGCUAAUUCCCUUUGGUAAUUAUAUUGUUUCCGGAAUUUAUUUCAUCAUACGGGAAAGGGAGAAUUCCGAGGCGGCCCGUCUCCCUGUUGCCCACAUGCCGGGAGCGCCUCAGUCCUCGCCCCUGUCUUCCUGGCGCCGUCCCCAGGCUGGGACCCUGGCUGGAAGAGUAGGAACCGGGGCUAGAGCAGCUGAAGCGGCCUAGGACCACGGCCAGGGCUCCCAGGGCGAUGAGAGGGCCAACACCAACUACCAGGGAGAGGGCCGUCCUAUGGGGCGGUGCUGGAGAAGCCCGAGAGGGAAAGGAGGCAGGGAUGAGCUCAAGGCCCCCGGAGAAUGGAGCCUUUGUGUGGGAGCUCCCGGGGCCCCAGGGGACCGGCACCAGACCUGGUCCCGGAAAGCCGGCCACCCCAGAGGCUGCAAAGGGAUGGAGAAGCAGAAAGGAAGAUGUGCAGUCGGGGA